rnacentral:rRNA from 1 species
GGGAUUUGGUGAUCCUAUGCUGUCGAGAAAAGCAUCGGCGUGAGGUUUGAGCUGCCCGUACCCGAAACCGACACAGGUGAUCAGGUAGAGAAUACUAAGGCGAUCGAGAGAAUCAUGGUUAAGGAACUCGGCAAAAUGCCCCCGUAACUUCGGGAGAAGGGGGGCCCUGAGCGUGAUCUGCCCGUGCGGUGGGGAGCGUGUAGGGGUCGCAGAGACCAGGGGGAAGCGACUGUUUAUCAAAAACACAGGUCCGUGCGAAGUCGUAAGACGAGGUAUACGGACUGACUCCUGCCCGGUGCUGGAAGGUUAAGAGGAGUGGUUAGCCCUUUUGGGGGCGAAGCUGCGAAUUUAAGCCCCAGUAAACGGCGGUGGUAACUAUAACCAUCCUAAGGUAGCGAAAUUCCUUGUCGGGUAAGUUCCGACCUGCACGAAUGGAGUAACGACUUCCCUACUGUCUCAACCAUGAACUCGGUGAAAUUGCAGUACGAGUAAAGAUGCUCGUUUCGCGCAGCAGGACGGAAAGACCCCGUGACCUUUACUAUAGUUUGGUAUUGGUGUUUGGUUUGGCUUGUGUAGGAUAGGUGGGAGACUGUGAAGCCGUCACGCUAGUGGUGGUGGAGUCGUUGUUGAAAUACCACUCUGGUCAAUCUGAGCGUCUAACUUCGGGCCAUGAUCUGGUUCAGGGACAGUGCCUGAUGGGUAGUUUAACUGGGGCGGUUGCCUCCUAAAGUGUAACGGAGGCGCCCAAAGGUUCCCUCAGCCUGGUUGGCAAUCAGGUGUUGAGUGUAAGUGCACAAGGGAGCUUGACUGUGAGAGUGGCGACUCGAGCAGGGACGAAAGUCGGGACUAGUGAUCCGGCAGUGGCGUGUGGAAGCGCUGUCGCUCAACGGAUAAAAGGUACCCCGGGGAUAACAGGCUGAUCUUGCCCAAGAGUCCAUAUCGACGGCAUGGUUUGGCACCUCGAUGUCGGCUCGUCGCAUCCUGGGGCUGGAGUCGGUCCCAAGGGUUGGGCUGUUCGCCCAUUAAAGCGGUACGCGAGCUGGGUUCAGAACGUCGUGAGACAGUUCGGUCCCUAUCCGUCGUGGGCGUAGGAAAUUUGAGAGGAGCUGUCCUUAGUACGAGAGGACCGGGAUGGACGUAUCAAUGGUGUACCAGUUGUCACGCCAGUGGCAUAGCUGGGUAGCUAAAUACGGAAGGGAUAAGAGCUGAAAGCAUCUAAGCAUGAAGCCCCCCUCGAGAUGAGAUUUCCCACGGAUAUUAAGACCCCUUGAAGACGACAAGGAGAAUAGGUUAGGAGUGUAAGCACGGUAACGUGUUCAGCUGACUAAUACUAAUAGGUCGAGGACUUAAUCAA